AUGCCUGUUCGAGCGUCAUUUGUACCCUCAAGCCUUGCUUGGUGUUGGGCGUUUUGUCUUUUUACUAAGACUCGCCUUAAAGUAAUUGGCAGCCAGUGUUUUGGUAGUAAGCGCAGCACAUUUUGCGUCUUAGUCCCUUGA
rnacentral:rRNA from 1 species